UAAGGAAUAUUGGUCAAUGGACGCAAGUCUGAACCAGCCAUGCCGCGUGAAGGAUUAAGGCCCUCUGGGUUGUAAACUUCUUUUAUAUGGGACGAAAUGUGCCGAUUCUUCGGCACUUGACGGUACCAUAGGAAUAAGCACCGGCUAACUCCGUGCCAGCAGCCGCGGUAAUACGGAGGGCGCAAGCGUUAUCCGGAUUUACUGGGCGUAAAGGGCGCGUAGGCGGCGCGGUAAGUCACUUGUGAAAUCUCUGAGCUUAACUCAGAACGGCCAAGGUAUACUGCUGUGCUAGAGUGCGGAAGAGGCAACCGGAAUUCUUGGUGUAGCGGUGAAAUGCGUAGAUAUCAUGAGGAACACCUGAGGCGAAGGCGGGUUGCUGGGCCGACACUGACGCUGAUGCGCGAAAGCCAGGGGAGCAAACG
rnacentral:rRNA from 1 species